UACAGAGGGUGCAAGCGUUGUUCGGAAUUAUUGGGCGUAAAGGGCGCGUAGGCGGUGCGGUAAGUCUGUAGUGAAAUCUCUGGGCUCAACUCAGAGUCUGCUAUAGAAACUGCCGUGCUUGAGUGUGGGAGAGGUGAGUGGAAUUCCCGGUGUAGCGGUGAAAUGCGUAGAUAUCGGGAGGAAUACCUAUGGCGAAAGCAGGCUUCUGGGCUAUCACUGACGCUGAUCUGCGAAAGCUAGGGGAGCAAACAGG
rnacentral:rRNA from 1 species